GUCCCUGUGAGGAUCACUAGACCAGGAAGUGCCGUAUGACACUGUAAACAGCAGCCGCUUCUGUGCUGCUGGAAGUGUCCAUCACUGUAGCAUAACCUCUGUGGUUUGCUCUCGGAUGUUGCACCGGCUUGAUUCGGCUGUGUGCGUGAUUUGAAACGGGUCUCUGAGGGAC
rnacentral:snoRNA from 1 species